rnacentral:rRNA from 1 species
AGCGGCGGACGGGUGAGUAACGCGUAGGAAUCUACCUGGUAGUGGGGGAUAACUUGGGGAAACCCAAGCUAAUACCGCAUACGCCCUAAGGGGGAAAGCGGGGGAUCUUCGGACCUCGCGCUAUCGGAUGAGCCUGCGUAGGAUUAGCUUGUUGGUGAGGUAAAGGCUCACCAAGGCGACGAUCCUUAGCUGGUCUGAGAGGAUGAUCAGCCACACCGGGACUGAGACACGGCCCGAACUCCUACGGGAGGCAGCAGUGGGGAAUAUUGCGCAAUGGGCGAAAGCCUGACGCAGCCAUGCCGCGUGUGUGAAGAAGGCCUUAGGGU